CAUCGCCUCCCGCGCCCGGGUCCGGCUGCGCGCGGGCGGCAACGAAAACGACGAGCGCGUCCCCCCUGUGGACCGCAGAGUCCGGGGAGCCGCUGGGUGGGAGCCCCUUCUUCACGGCCCCAAAGGCCCCGGAGCCGGGGACACCAGACGGGCCGCCUGGCUCCCGGGGAGACGCCCCAAUGGGCUCCCGCCCGAAUCCACAGGUCGGUUCCCAAAGGCCCUUUCUCUUCCCUCCUCUCCACCGGGGUCUCUGCCCCCCACCCCCGACCUUCCUACUUUGGGAACGAAAUCGCGCCUGCGGUCCUGAGGGCUAGACCCCCUGAGGGCAGACGCGCCCCUGGACCGUAGAUGGUCCUGCACGCCUCAGUUUCCCCAUCUGUGAAAUGGGGCCGGAGACGCCUGUGCCCCUCUCACAGGUUUAUGUGGGUUAAAGGGGGAACCACAGAAACGAGGGGGGGGAAUGCAGCCCACCCUUUGGGGCCACGUUUAAGCCGAGUGGCCCCGAGGUGGUCCGGGAGGUGAAGGGGUGCGGGGUGGCUCUUAGCGACCCCUGCCCAUCCCUGCUUCUGUGAGACCCGUUCCCAGGUCUCCUGUCUCCAGGGCUGGUGGAGGAGGGUGAGGGUCCCGCUCGCCCCUGGACGGGUUUGGCUUGCCCUGGGCUUCUCUCAGGGUCCUCUGGGGCCGGGAUGCAGGGAGAGGUGACCCACCAGGUCCAGCUCUCGGAGUGGCCCACCCUGCACCCCGUAUCUCACCGCGGGCAGGUGCUGGGGCUGCCAGGGAGGAAGGACAAGCCACAGAGGCCCUGGUGCCCCCCCAGCUCCUGGGAGGGACACACCCGUCUCCCUCACUCCCCUGCCUGCCAGGACUUGGGUGUUCCUGGUUUUGGGGGCCUGCGUGUCCGGGCAAGCCUGGGCGGGACCCUCAGGGCGUGACCUUGGAAGCUUGGGCUCCUUUAGCUUCCCUUAAACUACGCCCCUGGGUGUUGACUUGCUGGGCGGGGGGAGCUAGAGGAGGGAGCAGGACCAGAGCAAACCUGGCUGCCCACUGCUCCCAACCCACUGCUCCCAACCGGACCCUGGGGGGCGAAGGGGGAGGAAGCUGCGGCAGACGGGAGAGCCCCAGCGGACACUCCCUCCCCCACCACGCUGUGCCUGCUACUGAACCUGUAACCUCUGGCCGGAGGUGGAGACUAGAAAAGGGCGGAGAUCUGGACGGCCUCCCGCAGGGGAGAAAAUCACCUCUGCUGAGUGGCCCAAGGGCCGGGAGGGUGCCCCCCUGCCAUCCUUGCCCCCUGCAUCCCAGACCUAAGCCCCUCGAAGAAGGAACAAGCGAUGUUCAGAGAGGCAGAGACACACAUACAAGGUCCCAAGGCCCCUGAAGCCCAGGCAGGUCAGAAAACUUCCUGAGGACCAACUGUGUGCCAGGCCCAGGGACUAGGGUAAGGACCCCAUGAUUCCGGCCCUGAGAAGCCCCCCACUCAUGGGGACCCCCUUGAUAUCACUGGAAUUAUAAUGGGAGUCUGUGCCCGGUGGGGGUCAGCAGAGAAAUUGCCUGGGCGCUGUUCCCUGCACCCUGUCUUCCCUCGGCCCGAUGCAUGCGGCUGUGCUGUGACCCCCUCCCAGGGCAAGCAGUCAGCUGGGGGGGAGUGAAGACCGAAGGAGCCUCAGCAUAGUCAGAGCCAGGAUCUUCCCCACUCCCUCCCCCUGGAACCCUGGGUCAACCGUCCAGCUUCCUGGGAGCCCCGGUUUCUUACACAUACCUGUCUAGCCAGAGGGAGGGUUACAGGAAUUGAUGCGUGGGGGGGUCCUGGAGCUUCCUGGGAGCUCUGCGGGUUGUUGGAGCAGAGACUGCUGAUGGCAGGGGUUCCUGUGCCCUCUGACCCCUCCCCUCCCAGAACCAAGGCCUGUCCCCAAGGCUCUGAGUUGGAGUCACGGAGGGCAGCCACCUGGCUGGGCACAGAGGGCGAGUGUGGCAGGGACUGACAGUGCUCCUGGGAGCCCUCAGGCGGGUCUUAAGGGGCUUCCAGGGUCUGCUUCACCCUCGUGACCUUGGCUGCCCCGGUGUUGCCUGGUCAGCGUGGAGACUGAGGGUCAGCUGGUCUUCCUGCACCUGCGAUCCAUGCUAAGGCUCUUGGAUCAGGCUGCGGACCCAGCAUUCGUUCAUUCAUUCAUUCAUUCACUGGCACAUGGCCGAGGCCUCAGCGAGGCUGUGGGCUGCUAGAGCUGAUGGUCCCAUGGUGAGGCUGGCCUUGGAGGGCGGGUCCUGCAGCAGACUUGGGGCUCCAGGGCAUCCGGCUCCCCGGGAAGCCCCAGCCUGGAGCCAGCUGAGAGCUCAGUGAAGGGGCGAAUGACUCAGGAAUGAAUGAGGGGUGCCGAGCAGGUGGGAAGUGACCCUUGGACCCCCACAGCCUGGCUGCAGCCCAGGGAAAGACAGAAGGAGGCCAAGGGCAACACUACAGGACGUCGGAGUGGAGGCUGCAGCCCUGGCCUGAGUGGCCUGUCCUUCAUCUGUCCCGGCUUGCAAAGGGCCACCUGCAUUCAGCAGCCAGCACCAGUCCCACCGAGGGGACCAAGCAGUGAGCGAGGCACCCAGGGGCCCCGCUGCACGGGACACGUUGGCCAAGGAAGCCGACUUGCUCGGAGCCCUCCGUGGGACCAUGAGGCCGGGACACCAUCAGGAGGCUGUCUAUCCACAGGGUUGCCUGGCCUGGAGCGAUCGAGCCAGGUGGUGCUAGUCUCCUGUGCCCGGCAGGCUUGGCUCCUGCCCCUGUGCCUCACAGGGCCAUGGGACCCUCACGACAAUCUCAUGCCACAGGAGCUACAAUUGUCUGCUCCUUACCAAUGGGGAAACUGAGGCUCGGAGGAGCGAGGCGUGCCUUGGGUGAAGGGAAGCGGGGCCCGCCACCUGACAAAGCCCUACUCCAAGUGACCCAGGCAGGUGACCGGAUAACACCUAGGUAGGCGGGUGGGGUCUCUGCCCGGACCCUUUCCCGGGUGUGAGCUCCCCAGUGCUCUGGGCUGGCAUCACCCACCCACGUGCUCCCAACAAUAACUGAGACAUUUAUUUGCCUGUGUCCAGAAAGACAGCUCUUUAGGGUCACUGUACCCUGAGUCCAGCUCUCUCUGGGGAGUCAGCCCCCCUCAGGGUGGCCAUCCCAGGACUGUUCUGGGAGCAGGUCCCACAACCCAGCCAGUGGCUUUGGGGGCCCACGGGGGAGGGGGGUCACGCACCACCCAGGUCAUGCUCAGCAUCUGGGCUCCUGGUGAGGUCUUUCCAAUCAUAAAACGUGUCGUUUAGAAGAUGCGUCAGUGACAUGUGCGCCAAGCCCGGCCCACUCGGGACGCGGCCGCUCUGAUACACACAGACACGCCAUUCCCACAUCGGAGAAGUCACAGUUUCCCGUGGGAACGCAGCGCCUUUCAGGGGGUUAAUUAAUGAACAGCAGGCGAUUGUUCGGGGCGCGUGGUGGCGGAGGGUGGUUUCCAUCCGAGGACAGACGCCGGGGCCGGCCCCUCCGUACUCAGCCUUUUUGUGUAAUAAUCACCUUGGCUUCACCUCCGCCUUUAAUUUUUACAGCUGGAGCUGUUUAUCCUACCCCAACUCUCACUGAAACGGGAAAACUGUCACUUAAACAAAGCCAUUGAAAACUCGGCGUCGUAUGUGGAUUUCUUAACAUAAAUAAAUCACACGCACCAAGA